rnacentral:misc_RNA from 1 species
UUCUAAGCAAGUUAUAGCCUGGGGG